AACGUAGGGGACAAGCGUUAUCCGGAUUUACUGGGCGUAAAGCGCCCGUAGGCGGCCUGACAAGUUGGACGUGAAAGCCCCCGGCUUAACUGGGGAGGGUCAUUCGAUACUGUUCGACUUGAAGGCAGGAGAGGGCAGCAGAAUUCCCGGUGUAGUGGUGAAAUGCGUAGAUAUCGGGAGGAAUACCAGUGGCGAAGGCGGCUGCCUGGCCUGUUCUUGACGCUGAGGCGCGAAAGCUAGGGGAGCAAACGGG
rnacentral:rRNA from 1 species